rnacentral:rRNA from 1 species
AAGCGAGCGGCGGAUGGGUGAGUAACACGUGGGGAACCUGCCCCUAAGUCUGGGAUACCAUUUGGAAACAGGUGCUAAUACCGGAUAAUAAAGCAGAUCGCAUGAUCAGCUUUUGAAAGGCGGCGUAAGCUGUCGCUAAGGGAUGGCCCCGCGGUGCAUUAGCUAGUUGGUAAGGUAACGGCUUACCAAGGCGACGAUGCAUAGGCGAGUUGAGAGACUGAUCGGCCACAUUGGGACUGAGACACGGCCCAAACUCCUACGGGAGGCAGCAGUAGGGAAUCUUCCACAAUGGACGCAGGUCUGAUGGAGCAACGCCGCGUGAGUGAAGAAGGUUUUCGGAUCGUAAAGCUCUGUUGUUGGUGAAGAAGGAUAGAGGUAGUAACUGGCCUUUAUUUGACGGUAAUCAACCAGAAAGUCACGGCUAACUACGUGCCAGCAGCCGCGGUAAUACGUAGGUGGCAAGCGUUGUCCGGAUUUAUUGGGCGUAAAGCGAGCGCAGGCUGAAAAAUAAGUCUAAUGUGAAAGCCCUCGGCUUAACCGAGGAACUGC